CGGACGGGUGAGUAACACGUGGAUAACCUACCUAUAAGACUGGGAUAACUUCGGGAAACCGGAGCUAAUACCGGAUAAUAUAUUGAACCGCAUGGUUCAAUAGUGAAAGACGGUUUUGCUGUCACUUAUAGAUGGAUCCGCGCCGCAUUAGCUAGUUGGCAAGGUAACGGCUUACCAAGGCAACGAUGCGUAGCCGACCUGAGAGGGUGAUCGGCCACACUGGAACUGAGACACGGUCCAGACUCCUACGGGAGGCAGCAGUU
rnacentral:rRNA from 1 species